GACGAACGCUGGCGGCGUGCUUAACACAUGCAAGUCGAACGGUGAAGCGCCUUCCUUUUUGGUGGGUGUGGAUGAGUGGCGAACGGGUGAGUAACACGUGAGUAACCUGCCCCCUUCUUCUGGAUAACCGCAUGAAAGUGUGGCUAAUACGGGAUAUUCUGGGUCUGUCGCAUGAUGGGUCUGGGAAAGAUAUUGUUUCGGUGGGGGAUGGGCUCGCGGCCUAUCAGCUUGUUGGUGGGGUGAUGGCCUACCAAGGCGGUGACGGGUAGCCGGCCUGAGAGGGUGGACGGUCACACGGGGACUGAGACACGGCCCAGACUCCUACGGGAGGCAGCAGUGGGGAAUAUUGCACAAUGGGCGCAAGCCUGAUGCAGCGACGCCGCGGGAGGGAUGGAGGCCUUCGGGUUGUGAACCUCUUUCGCCAGUGAAGCAGGCCUGCCUCGUUUGUGGGUGGGUUGACGGUAGCUGGAUAAGAAGCGCCGGCUAACUACGUG
rnacentral:rRNA from 1 species